AUUCCGCUUGAAAAACAGAAGCUUAAUCAGCCAUACAGAAGAAGACACCGCUCGAAAAGUUAAUUAAUACUUUUUUUCAUUAAUAUUUUUGUUCAAGAGAGACAGAACAUGGUACAAGAUGGAAGUGUUUAUUUGAAAUAUGUUUUAUAUAGAAAAUAAAAACGACAACAUAUCCUUCAUGGAAAAAUACUAUUUGACUGCGAAGAAACGAUUGGAAAUAAUUGAAAAACCAUUCUAAUAUAAUAUUCAAGAAAGCACGAAGUUCCCGGACAACAUUAUUGCAAUAUAGCAAAAUGUUGGAUUUUUUUAUUUAAACAAAGGUCUCGCUGAAGGAAGAUUACAACACCUUACAUGGAAAAAAAGUAACGCAAAAAAAGUGGGCAGAGCUAGCUGCAGAAUUAAACAAUGUUCAAGGAGCGACCAAAAGUGUGAAGAGAUUUGAAAAGUCGCACUUCUAUGAAGGCACGCGAUUUGAGAAGGGCUAAGGCGAUGUCCGGAAACAAAUCAAUCAAGCAAUCUGCAGAAUUAUCUGAAAUAGAACUGCGGGUUAGUGGGAUAAUCGGCGCAGAAUAUAUUGAAGGAAAUAAGGAUUAUGCUGAAAAUAUUUCGUAAGAGGAGUCUUUACAAAACUAAUCCGUGGAAAUUCGUUAGUAUUAAGGGAUGCUCCACGAAUAAUAAACGUUUGCAAUACUCUCCCACAAGAAAGCAAAAAGACCCGCAAACUUCGAACAAAGAUAGAGUUAAUUUCUUGGAUACCGACAUCGACAUCGCUACGAUUGAUGAUGUAUUUGAUGGAAAUGUAUCCGACAACGAGAACAUUCCCGUACAACAAAAUGUCGACAAAAUUAUUAAUGAGAGACAGGCGAAAAGAAAGUGUACUUCCUGUUUCCAAGUCAUUGGAUCUACCGAGUACUAAUCGCAACAUCGGUUCAUCGGUCUUUUCGAGAAGAUAUAAUAAGAAUAUAAAUAAUGUUAUAGUAUUAUUGUAUGAAAAUUGAAAACAAAAUUUUUUAAAAUUUUUGUACAAUAACAUUAUAAAACGCCUUUUUUAUAGUACUUUUAUUAUUUAUUAAUUAUAAUGUUUUUUUAUAAAAUUGUAGUAAAUCGUGUAGGAAGAUCUGAGUAGUUUUAUUCGUCGAAGGAGCAGUUUAAAUGCAUUGCUCAGAAGCAAGCCGAUGCUAUGAUGAUGCUUGCCGAGGUCUGGAAAGCUCAUGCAGAAGUAGCUACGAUAAAUGCCCAUGCCAUGGCAGAAAUGGCCAAAACUGCUACAAAAUUGGCAAAUAACGCAGAAGUACAGGCUGUGAACGAUGCGGAUAGGAUACAAGUAAUGGAGAAAGUAGUUCAAGUAUUGGAGAAUUUAUCGUCAAGCUAUAUUCAUUGAGACUGAGUAUAGAAACUAGAAAGUAAGAUUUGACAGGAGUUAAAUCGGACAAAUUAAUUUAAAAAUAACGUGAUAUUCACCAGAAUGUGAUAUCGAGAAGACUGAUGAAAUUUAAAUUUAAGUUUUUUAACUUUUUUAAAAAAUUAAGUUUAUUUAAUUUAAGUUUAAAAUUGUUGCAUAAAGUAUGCACCAAAUAAUUUUGCAAUUAAAAUAGAAAUAAUAUAUUGUGAUUUUAUAAUAGAUAUAUUAGAUAUAAAAAAAUGAAUUAUGAUUUUAUGAAAUGAUUAUAUGU